UAAAAGAAACAUUCGGCACCAGGGGCAGGUCAAGGCGAGGCAGUCACGUGGCUGGCUCCCUGGCCAAUGCGGGGCUCAGGGAGGACUGAGCACCCGCCUUGCCCCAACACCAGGCUCGCUUCUUCAGCUCAUAUAAGGUAAAAGGCAGCAAGGCCUCCGUGGCCAGAGAGCCACGGGCAAGGGGCUGAGUAGAGGGGGGUCCGAUGGCAGUUGCUUAAAAAUGCCCCCGUAGCAUCAAGAGGUGCCAGCCGAGUCAACUUAGGUGAGAAGCAGUGACACCCACAACCAUACCCCAAACAGGGUGAGCCUCUGAAGAGUCAUCCCUGGGCCAGACAACAGCCAAGGCAAGAAUGAUGGCUAGUAGGCUCCUGCCCGCCCCCCUACACUCGAGAAUGAAGAGCCUGUGAGAGAAAUUUUCCCAAGAAGUAGAAAAGGCAUGGCGGUGGAAGCCCUGUUCCCAGAACUAACUGUAAGUGUUCCUUCCUUCCAUAUUCCCACAAACACCCUAACUCCGGGAGCUCUAAGAAUAACCUGGGACCCUCAGACAAGUCCCCCUUCCCAAUGCUCAAAAUGCUCAGGAAACCAAGCCUGGGAAUCUCAAAAAGCACAGCCAUAGGGCCGCCUUUCGGUAACGCUGGAGGCUGGGAUGGAGGCAGAAAAGAGGGAAGCAAAGAAGAGGGGACCCAACAGGUGUGAGAACCCUUCCCAUCCCACUCCAUUCCCUUCACACAGCAACAGGAAAGUGGGCUUGGCUUAAGGAAGACACAGACAACAGUAUUCUUCCUUAGAGAUGGAAGAACUUUGUAGGAGGGGUACCCGGGGCUCUGGGCAAGGACGAUGAUAUUGCUAACAGCAGCACCUAGGGAUGGAGGUGAUGCUUCAGGCCUGCUGGGCUUUGAGUGUGCAGAUUCCUGUAUUCGGUAGGACACAGGAAAGAGCUGGAGAGGGUGGGGGUGCUCCAUAAAACAGGGAGGGAAACUGGGGUCCAGAAGGGAGGCGCACACUUCAGAUUGCAAGGUCAGGAAGUAUAGAGAAGUCUGGCCCAGAUUGAUCAAGGAUGGGAUAAACAGGAAGAACUGGGGGCAAGAGAAGGGAAAGAUGGAAGCCAGGUCAGCAGAAAGGAACUAUUCUAUGGUUGGGCGACAAGGCUUAUGUAACACAGCCCACCUGUUCACCCCUGUGUAGCCUCCACAUGUGUGCGAACGAAGUGCACCCCCAAAACAGCUCACACCCUGUCUUCACUUGUGAGCAAAUGAGCUGCAAGAGACCGUUGUAAACAAAUUGGAUUAGGAGGCUGCAGGCGCGACCCUCUGGCAGACAAGAAGCAGGCCUGUAGGGUGGCCAGCUGCACUCUCUCUGGCAUGGGGACAGUCAGCCCUGAGCCCCCAACCCCUCCCCCACCCAGCCCCAGGAAGGAGCCAUGGAGAAGAUGCCAGGAUGAUGGAUGGGGUGAGGGAGGUUCCAGGGCCGGCCUGAGAGCACACAGGAUGUUAGUGCUUGUGGGAGGCACAUUUCUGAGCUCUUCCCAGCAGCCCACCCUUCCACCCCCAUGAGCUCCCCUCUGCAGCCUCUCCCACGGUCACUGCUGCUGGCCUGGGACUUGGGCCUAGCCUGAGGUUCCAAGCCGAGUCCAGGGCCUGGGCCCUGCGCACAUCUGCCCCCUAGGUCCCGCAGCUGGACUGAGGGGAAACAGCUGAGGAAGCAGCGGCACAGGGAGACACUGGAAGCCACUUUAGAGGGCAGAAGGGACCUGGGAGCAAAGUAACAAAGCCAACUCCCUGCUUUCUUGCCCAUUGCUUCAAUUGAUCCUCAGAGCGGGCUGCCAAGCUGGAGUUGGAAGCGGGGUACUGCUGUGAGCAGCAAGACUUAUUUAUUCAGGGCUUCCACACAUCCUCCUCUGAUGCUCAUCUGCACCAGGCCCUGUGUCACAUGCUGAGGGCACCCAGGAAACAGCUAUUGUGCAUGUCUGAUGGAACCGUUCCCCUUAGUCAUGUUGUGGAGCAUUAGGGCUUGCCUGGUUUCCCAGGGGGUACACCUCCAAUACAAUGAACUUUCUAUGGAGCACGUGCAAUGGCUCAAUUUGCCCCUUUAUGCUGCGUCAAUGCAAUCAGCCCACUCAGAACCCUGAUGCCAGAUACCAGGCCCUGAUACCAGACAGCCUUGCGUUAAAUCCUACCGCAUUUCCUGUUCGGUUACAUAGUUGUCCUUAGCCUCUCUGGACCUGUUUUCCCUUCUGCAAAAUGGGGGAGCAAUUGCUCUCACCCCAUAGGGCUGAUUGAGUACUUCUCUUCCAUACUCUCAUGUUAUACAGAGAGAAUCAGAGGCCUCUGAAGAAAAGGACUCUGAGGUGGGAGUGAAGUUUGGACCAGGCUGUUCCCUUCAACCCAGUAUUAUUCCUCCCACCUGCUACAAAACAAUCAGAGGCCGAGAUGGCUGCUCAGUUUGUAUAGGUGAUUCCCAGGAUACGUGCUAGACCUUGCCUGCCUUCUCAGUAGCAGCCCAGGUGACCAGUGGUGGCCCUCAGUUCUCUGAGUGGUGACUGAGGUGAGGAAUGACAGGCAGAGUUCCUAGCUCAGAGCAGCCUUGCCAUAUAAGGGCAGGAGCCACAGAGCGUCCUGCCUGGGCCUGAGACUAUCCAGACAACCACUGUUUAUUUUCUGCUUCAGCCUCCCCUCCUUUCACCCCUCCCAGGAGCUUCCCAACAGACAGAAGCCAGAGAGUCCCUAGCCUAGAGACAUUUUCUGAAGACCUGUGGAAAAGGAAAAAAAGCGGGCUGUCCCCUGCAGCAUGCCUCCAAGGGGCCGAGAGACAACACCUAGAGCACCAGGUAAGACCCAGAGUCUGCCUGGUCCAGCCACCUCUUUAAUGGAAUGGGGACCCAAGUCCCAGAGAUGACAGGACUGACUGGAGAAGGGGCCUAGAUCCCCAAGCCUCUCCCAUCUUCUGAUGGCACCACAGGGUAAAAGAGUCUUUCUUGGGGUAAAUGAUGUAGAAAGGCUACAUACCUCUUCUCAGGGAAGCCCAACUUGAGGGAGGAAGGAGGUGGGGAGGGUUGUCCAGACAAGCUCUGCUUACCAGCCCAGCACAUGUAUAUGUAUAUUUCCGGGACCAUCGAGCCACAGGGCGCACCUUCCUGCCCCACAGCCCCUCCCCACCAUCCUAGUCCCCACCCCAACUCUUCCAAGAUGCCUUUUGAGCCAUCCAGGGGGCAGUGGAAGGAACCUCCCUGGCCACAAGCGCCUGGCAGUCCUCUCAAGGGCUCUCAGGAGUUCUGCUGGGUCUGCCCCCAUGCCCUGCUCAGGUGCUUUCCUCCCCCUCAACCUCGUAUGCCCUGUAAGGAUAGUACUGAGGCUGUGUUAGCCAUGAGUGUAUAGACAUAAUCCCCGAGCACACAGAAGUGAUGCUAGGUCUGCUGAAUGAGCUAGCACGACUAUGAGAGCCUAUCCCAAACCCAGAAGACUAAGAAAUUGAGACCUCAGGCAUGGGGGGUUAGUUAAGGUGAGGGGCCAGGCCCUGCUGCUAUGAGUGAAGAAACCCAGCACAGUGCCUUGUACUCUUACCACAGGGAAAUUCUAUUUCUCUGGAGCCUUGAAGACAUAUGGGGAUACAUGCAUUUAAACAUUCACCAGAUUGAUUAUUCGAGAGCCAUAGGGACAGAACUAGACAGUCUUUAUCCAAGGAUGGGAUGAGGAAGAAUGCCUGCCUCUCAGUACUACCUGGCCAUUUACUUCUCCUUAAGAUGGACCACCUUCUGUCCAGGUCCCAUGGCACACCCAGAAGAUAUAAAAUCUUUGCUGUGCUCUUCUUUAUCCCAAGGUGGGACAGCAAUGGCUCUCAGUUCCCCUCUCUGAACAUGUAUCUGCAAGUCUAGAAUGCCUGCCCUCCCCCACUCUUGGUCCUCCAUCCAAGGUGAUCUUUUCCAGGCCCGCAAGCUGUCCAGAAGGUAGAACAGGCUCUGGCAUCCUGCCCCAAACCUAGCCAUCAGAUGUCCUGUUUUUAACUUUUGUCUGCAGUUGUGUUUUAGAGUGUAAGGUGAAUCUUUUUACAUACCUAAGUAGGAAUACUUACUAUAAAUGGAAAACUGACUCUAUUCGUAGUUUGAAACAAUGGUGUGAGAACACAGCCUCAGUGCCACACUGUAGACUGCUUCUGUGGCUUGCCAGGCCCCAAGCUAGGCUUUCCUCCCCAUACGUAGGACCCCAGGUUGCCAGGCAUUGUGGCACAUGCCUGUAAUCCCAGAAUUCCAGAAGUGGAGGAUCAAGAACUCUAAACACUGAAUGAGUUUGAGGGUAGCCUGAUCUACUUGCAUCUCUGUUUCUGGAAAGCAAAAAGAAGAGAGAGAGAGCAAAAGAAAGGAGAAUAAAGGGGAGAGGAGAGACAACCCAAAUGGCGUGUCAUCAAAUGACUCCCACAAUCUCUCACUCUUGCUGCCCCCAGAAAGCCAAGGUGGCAUAGGCCAAAGGGCUUUGGGCACAGUCACACCCUGGGGAAGGCAGGGGCUCAGUGUGGUCCCUAGCAGCCUAGCUGUGCUAUGUCCAGCCAUCCCUCCUAACUAAUUACUGGAAUGUCCCUCAGUCAGGUUCAAUGAUGCCUCUCCCAUGGUCCAUGGGAGCUGUGGGGAAUGGAGUAGAGAGGACAGGGUGUUGUGACUUCUAGAGAAUCCCAUGUUCGGAUCUCCUGGUAAAGGGACUGUGGAAAUUUUUCGAGAGCUCUAGACAGAAAGAAUUUGGCUAUUGGCUGGGGACGCCUGAGGGCAGAAGUACCCUGGCUUUAGUGACAAAUCAGAGAACAUUUUCCCACUGCUCCUGCACCCCACUCCCAACUUGGGUUGCUGCUAGAUUCUUGUUGGAGGCCUAGGAGCUAUGGGGUUUCUGAAAAACGGAGGUGGACUUUUUUUUUUUUCCUGUCCUUUCCCAGCCAGGAGAAAAGGCUGCCUCUCCCUUCAGACAACCCCCAAAGUAUGUCAUCCAGCAUCAAGGCCACCACAGUCACCAUGAAGCAAGGGUCUUCUGGGGACCCUGGAAUCUUGGCAAAAGCAGGGUGAGUGCCCACAGAAGAAAAUGAAUUAUCCAUGUGGCCACUCAGUCAGUCACUACAUGUCAUCUACUAUGUCUGUUGUCAUGUGCAAAGUUAUCAGCAGUAUCUAGGGACCCCAAAUGAUAACAUAUGGGCCCUGACCUCAGGCAACUGGAAAGGUAAGUAGGGAUGGCCCAGAAAUGAAACACCCUGAGGCCCCGUAGUACCAGGUAGCUUGCAAGCCGUCUACUCAAGCAGCAUUCAUCAUGGCCACGAUUUGGGGGCUGAGGGAAUCCAGCAGGCUCCUUUUCCUCAUGAAGGAAGGUGUUCACAAAAGAAAACUGUACCUCAAGGGUUGAGAAGAAACAGAGUUCAGAGGAUGGGCAAGAACAUGAAGGUGUCCUGGGGUCUAAAGAAGUGAGGGUUGGUUUCUCACCAGUGGUCGUUUGCCCAGAGUCCAUUCAGAGAUGGGUGGGGGACAAGAGCAAGAACCAAAGGUAAGAGGACACAGAGGGUUUAUUUAAUAAGUGCAAGGCCACGGGUUCCAUUCCCAGCCCUGCAGAGAAAAAAAAAAUCAACUGUACACUUUAAAUGGAUGGACUCUACCUCAAGAAAGCUAACUUAAAAAGAGAAAGGGAAUGAAGAUGGAGAUUUCAGUCGCAGAGGGCUCCAGGGCAAGGGAAGAACAGGUGGGAGGCAGGCCACUACACAUGCUCACACUCCUUUUCCUGCCCAGGAAGCCAGCCGCAGCCCCAGUGCGCAUGUGCGCGGAGCGUCUGUCUCCCAGCCUGAGGUGCAGUGCUGCAUCUCUGGUCAGUUGGGAGUCUGAGAUGAAGCACUGUAGCUCAGGAAGGGAGAAGUUGUUCUGCAGCCAUCACCAGGACGUGGUAAGUGUUGAUGUGGGGUAGCAGGCCCGGAUAGGUUAGACUCCACUCCAGCAGUCCAUGGUGAUAUUCCUUGGCUCAAGCUGCACCAGUGCUGACCACUCAUGUGCACCUGUAACUGUACACUCUGGUCCAUUCGGUGGCAGCGGUACUGACACGUAGAAGACAGUGCUAAUGUAAAAAGAUAUGGCUCCUUUAAGAAACUCUGUCGUACAUCUAUCCAUUCUGAAGGGGUUCCAACACACCCUCAGAAUCCAUCUCAACACUGCAGACUCAAAUACCCACUAUAAAUGAUUCUUGACUGAAACCCAUUGAAUCCCUGUAGAUCAUCAGACAAUCCCUAACAGCUCUUCCAUCCCAGAGGUAGUGUCCCAGGGUCCUGGCAGCCCAACACUGUCAUGCUGCAGCAUCAAAAUGUUGCACAUUCCUGUUAGGCGUGGAGUCACAGUCUUCACUCUUUGACCCUCUAACUCUGCCUCUGUGCUAUUGCCUAAACUAGCCAAGGCAUUUCACAAAUGUCUACCCUGGCCCAGAGGCUUCAGAGAAGCAAGGGGCAGCAGAUGAGCACCACAGAGGAAGGUGACCCACUUCACAGGUGAGAAAACUAAGCCUUAGUUAAGUGGCUGACCUUAGGUCACAUAUGGACAUGCUGGGGUCCACCUUCUUAUCCACUGUGAGACUGUGGAUAAACCCCAGUCUGCUAUGGUAACAGAGGCAGGACCACACACUUCUAAGAGUCCCGUGGUCUCUCUUCAUGCUAUCUCCUCACCCAGUAGGUGCUAUUUGAUGCCACUUUACAAGCAAGGUGCAGAGUUCAAGUUACCUGCCGGAAGCCAACAAUGAGAAAGUUGCCAGAGCCUAGGAACUAUCCUCGUGCAAACUGGUUUAAACUCAUCCUCCUGGCCAGAGCACUGUGGCCUGUGGCAAUGGGGGGGAAGGAACUGGUCCCAGAUGUUUUCUGAUCAAUUCUGGUAAACAAAGGCUGCCUUUGACCACAUGGAAGGUACUUCCCAAGCCACUCCAAGCUUUAGUCGCUCUUCCCAGGGCAGGAAGCUGCACCCUGGGAGUCGCAGCACCCCACACUGGCUGCCAGAGCUCAGCUCUGGCUGGAUGCAGAGAAAAACUGUUGGUCCCUAGAGGUGUGGCAAGUGCUGAAGGCCUCUCUCUCCCACCUUGUCCUCACGGUCCAGUUUUCCCAGGAAUCCCUUGGAUGCUAAGAUGGGGAUUCCUGGAAAUACUGUUCUUGAGGUCAUGGCCUAACAGCUGGAGCUGCCUCCUUCCCACCCUGGCAUUUCCUGUCUGGGAUGCGGGAGGAGAAGGCGGUACACUGGAGGUAAGAGGCCUCGGGAGAUCCCUUCUGACCUUUGCAUUGCUUUUCUUUCCACUGUGCCCGUAUUUCAUAACAUCCCCGGGAGGCUGGAUGUGGGAACCUCAGAACCGCCUCACUCUUGAGAAACUUGUCCCAAGUCGCAGUGGUUGAAGCAGGACCUUGAGGCAGCCUUUCCUCCACUCGAACCCUCCGCGUUCCUUCCCUGCCGGAGGAAAGGAGGCGCCAUAGGUCCAUAUCCACAUUACUAGGAAAAUCAUACACAAAUUUAUUUCAAAAUUUUAUUAAAUCUGUUGUAUAAACUAACAGAUAAACCCUUCAUCUCGGUUGGAUUCAGAGCACAGCAGCCACAGGAAACAGCUUUCGAGGUAGAAAAAUACAAGUUUGUAGCGCCCCCCGGUGGUAUUUCUGCCCACUUCAGGAACAGUGCGAUUUCCCCAUACACUGCGCAGGAGCCUCUGCAGCCUGCCUUCCUGUUUCUACACACUUCUACCAAAAUUCUUUCUGCCCAGUCACUUUUGAGUGGACAUGCUUAAAACUUAUUAAUCUCCUGCCAGAGAUGCUUCUGCGUCUUACAGUUGGCUUUUCUUUAGGCCCAAACCAGGGCAAGUCCACCUAGACAGCAAAAGGCAGAGGAGAGAUAGAGUUCAAGUUCCAUGGCCCCUAGCAUUGAAUGUCUGAGCCAAAAGGAAAAGUAGGGCCAAGUACUCCUCCCUUAUAGCUCCCUGCUCCCCAACUCUUUAAUUUUCCUUAAAUUUCUGCUGUGCCAGUCCAGUCUAUACAGUGAGUUCCAGGACAGCCAGAGUUACAUAGUGCUUGCUACAUGUCUCUGCAUAGUAAGACCCUGUCUCAAAAAAAAAAAAACAAAAAAAAACUAGAGCCAGGUUGUCUGUAGAGUGAUUGCUUACAGUGUGUGAAUCCCUGGGUUCCAUGCCUAGCACUUGUGCAAAUCAGGUGUGGUGGUACAUGCCUGUAAUCCCAGCACACGGCAGGAAGAUCAAACAUGCACAGUCAUCCUUGGAUAAAUAGUGAGUUUGAGGCCAUUCUGGGCUUACAUGAGACCCUAUCUUGAGAGCAAAAACUAAAAAAUGAAAAAUAAAAAGGCCACCUUUCCAGUUGCAUGUAUGGAAUGGUGACUGGAUGGAUGUCAAAAUCCUUGAUGGAAUCCAGGUAUAAAACUAGAACUUGGGCUGGGAAGAUGAGAUGGCUUACCAUUAAAGCCCACCCAAAUCAAACCGGAACCCACGUGACAGAAGGAGAAAAGUGACUCCUGAAAAUUGUCCUCUAACCUCCAUGUGUCUGGCAUGCUGUGUGCUGCAAGCAUGCACACGCAUCAUAAAAAGAAAUAAGUGUGAAGGAAAAACUAGAACUUUGGGGGCUACGGGAUGGCCUAGUCAGUGAAGGUCUGGGUUCAGAUGCCCAGUGCCUAUGCAGAAAGCUAGCUGUAGGUAACAUUUUUUAAUUCCAGUGCUGGUGGGGAGAGAGACGGGAGGACCCUGGAAUUCUGCAGUCAGCCAGUCUGGCCAGAGUUGCUGAGCUCUGGGUUUAGUGAGAAAUACUAUCUCAAAAUCACAAGGUAGAGAGUGACAGAGGACAAUAACCUUGUGCACACAUUCACACACAGAGAGGGG
rnacentral:lncRNA from 1 species